AAGUUUGAAUACUCAGAUGCUGAAAGCGUGAGCGCCAGAGGGUGAGUCUGCGGCCUAUCAGGUAGUAGGUGGUGUAAUGGACCACCUAGCCUAAGACGGGUACGGGCCUUGAGAGAGGAAGCCCGGAGAUGGAUUCUGAGACACGAAUCCAGGCCCUACGGGGCGCAGCAGGCGCGAAACCUUCACACUGCGCGUAAGCGCGAUGAGGGGAGACCGAGUGCCUUCUCUUUACGGGAAGGCUUUUCACAAGCCUAAAAAGCUUGUGGAAUAAGGGCUGGGCAAGACGGGUGCCAGCCGCCGCGGUAAUACCCGCAGCUCAAGUGGUGGUCGCUAUUAUUGAGCCUAAAACGUCCGUAGUCGGCUUUGUAAAUCCCUGGGUAAAUCGGGUUGCUUAACGAUCCGAUCCCUAGGGAGACUGCAAAGCUUGGGACCGGGCGAGGUUAGAGGUACUCUCGGGGUAGGGGUGAAAUCCUGUAAUCCCGAGGGGACCACCUGUGGCGAAAGCGUCUAACUUGAACGGCUCCGACGAUGAGGGACGAAGGCUAGGGGAGCAAACCGGAUUAGAUACCCGGGUAGUCCUAGCUGUAAACACUGCCCGCUUGGUGUGGCCUGUCCUCCGGGGGCAGGCCGUGCCGGAGCGAAGGUGUUAAGCGGGCUGCUUGGGGAGUACGGCCGCAAGGUUGAAACUUAAAGGAAUUGGCGGGGGAGCACCGCAACGGGAGGAUGCGUGCGGUUUAAUGGAUCAACGCCGG
rnacentral:rRNA from 1 species